GCCAAAAGGCCGAGAAAGGUAUU
rnacentral:miRNA from 1 species